GACGAACGCUGGCGGCGUGCUUAACACAUGCAAGUCGAACGGAAAGGCCUUUUCGGAGGUACUCGAGUGGCGAACGGGUGAGUAACACGUGGGUGAUCUGCCCUGCACUCUGGGAUAAGCCUGGGAAACUGGGUCUAAUACCGGAUAGGACCGCACUUUAGUGUGUGUGGUGGAAAGUUUUUUCGGUGUAGGAUGAGCCCGCGGCCUAUCAGCUUGUUGGUGGGGUAAUGGCCCACCAAGGCGGCGACGGGUAGCCGGACUGAGAGGUUGGUCGGCCACAUUGGGACUGGGAUACGGCCCAGCCUCCUCCGGGGGGCAGCAGGGGGGAAUAUUGCAAAAUGGGCGCAAGCCUGAUGCAGGGGCGCCGCGUGGGGGAUGACGGCCUUCGGGUUUUAACCUCCUUUCGCCAGGGACGAAGCGUUUUGGGGGGGGACCUGGAGAAGAAGCCCCGGCAAACUACGU
rnacentral:rRNA from 1 species